rnacentral:rRNA from 1 species
UACAGAGGUCUCGAGCGUUGUUCGGAUUCAUUGGGCGUAAAGGGCGCGUAGGCGGCGGGGCAAGUCGGGUGUGAAAUCUCAGAGCUCAACUCUGAAACUGCACUCGAUACUGCUUUGCUUGAGGACUGGAGAGGAGAUUGGAAUUCACGGUGUAGCAGUGAAAUGCGUAGAUAUCGUGAGGAAGACCAGUGGCGAAGGCGGAUCUCUGGACAGUUACUGACGCUGAGGCGCGAAGGCCAGGGGAGCAAACGGG